GCAACUCGACCCCACUGAAGUCGGAGUCGCUAGUAAUCGCAGAUCAGCAACGCUGCGGUGAAUACGUUCCCGGGCCUUGUACACACCGCCCGUCAAGUCACGAAAGUUGGUAACACCCGAAGCCGAUGGCCUAACCCGUUUGGGAGGGAGUCGUCGAAGGUGGGAUUGGCGAUUGGGACUAAGUCGUAACAAGGUAAC
rnacentral:rRNA from 1 species